GAACACCAGGUUCAGAAGUCCCAGAAAUGGAGGCAGGAUUGGGAGGCCAGUUAAGUUUGCUAAGGUCAUUAUUAUCUUAUUCCAACUAUCCACACUCAUUCUCUCCCCAGAUAUUUUUCAGGAGGACCAUGAAAUAAUUUAACUCAGUCAAUUAAAAAUGAUUAUCAAAUGUCUACUAAGUGUAGGCCCUGUCAACAGAGGACUGAACAAAACAAACUGAGAAAACAAUGCCAAGUGCUAUGAAAGACAUGGAGGGAAGGGGUCUUGUGAAUUCCAGCUGCCACUUGGAUCAUAUAUAAUAAGCUCCAUGCUCACAGGUUAAUGACUACUCUCCCCUCCUCAGAAAGACCACAGAAUUGGAAAUCAGACACUCUAGAUUCAGCUUUCUCCCCCAAGAGUUGAACUUUAAGUGGAAUUUACAAUAGCCUUUACAAUAAUGUCAGGCAUAUCAUCUUUGGCAGAAUGAACUUCAGUGAAUUGGAUUAAAAAAAUCAACAUCAUUGUAACUAGCCAAUUUUCCAUU